GCCGAUAGGCGGACGGGUGAGUAAUAUGGGGAUCUGAGGGAUAACUACUGGAAACGGUGGAUGGGCUAAUACCGCAUGACGUCUACGGACGGACCUUGCGUAUCGGAUGAACCCAUGUAGAUCAGAAAUUAGCUUGUAGGUGAGGUAAAGGCUCACUAGGCACGGAUCUCUAGCUGGUCUGAAGAGGAUGAUCGGUGAGCCCAACUGGGACUGAGACACGGCCGACCCUACGGGAGGCAGCAGUGGGGAUAUUGCACAAUGGCGCAAGCCUGAUGCAGCCAUGCCGCGUGUUGAAGAAGGCCUUAGGGUUGUAAAGUACUUUCAGCGGGGGAAGGUGAUAAAGUUAAUACCUUUAAAUUGACGUUACCCGCAGAAGAAGCACCGGCUAACUCCGUAGCCAGCAGCCGCGGUAAUACGGAGGGUGCAAGCGUUAAUCGGAAUACUGGGCGUAAAGCGCACGCAGGCGGUCAAUUAAGUCAGAUGUGAAAGCCCCGCUUAACUUGGGAAUUGCACUGAAACUGGUUGGCUGAGUUUGUAGAGGGGGGUAGAUUCCAUGUGUAGCGGUGAAUGCGUAGAGAUGUGGAGGAAUACCGGUGGCGAAGGCGGCCCCCUGGACAAAGACUGACGCAGGUGCGAAAGCGUGGGGAGCAAACAGGAUUAGAUACCCUGGUAGUCCACGCUGUAAACGAUGUCGAUAGAGUGGUCUUGAACCGUGGCUUGCUAACGCGUUAAAUCGACCGCCUGGGGAGUACGGCCGCAAGGUUAAAACUCAAAUGAAUUGACGGGGGCCCGCACAAGCGGUGGAGCAUGUGGUUUAAUUCGCGAAGAACCUUACCUACUCUUGACAUCCAGCGAAUCCUUUAGAGAUAGAGGAGUGCCUUCGAACGCUGAGACAGGUGCUGCAUGGCUGUCGUCAGCUCGUGUUGUGAAAUGUUUGGGUUAAGUCCCGCAACGAGCGCAACCCUUAUCCUUUGUUGCCACCGCGUGAUGGCGGGAACUCAAAGGAGACUGCCGGGGAUAACCCGGAGGAAAGGUGGGGAUAGACGUCAAGUCAUCAUGGGCCCUUACAAGAAGGGGUCACACCUGCUGGCGAAUACAAAGAGAAACGACUUCCCCAGAGCAAGCGGAACUCAUAAAGUCUGUCGUAAUCCCGAUUGGAGUCUGGAACUCGACUCCUUGAAGUCGGAACCGCUGGUAAUCUGCUACGGUGAAUACGUUCCCGGGCCUUGUACACACCGCCCAAAGCAGGGGCUCUUC
rnacentral:rRNA from 1 species